rnacentral:lncRNA from 1 species
AAUUAGGGUUUUCUAAUUAGGGUUUCUUAACGUUAUCAAUUAGGGUUUUCUAAUUGACCAUUAGGGUUCUCUAAUUAUCUGUGUAUGAUCUAACACAGUCAUUACGGUCUCUAACUUCAACCGAUUAGGGUUGUAAUAAUUAGGGUUUGUCCUAGUUAUCAGCGUAAAAAUAGUAAUUAGGGUUUUUCUUCUAAUUACCGACAUUCGUGUACACAGUAACUUCAUAUACACAGUAAACUUCAUAUACUACUCAGUCAUUUCUCAUAACUGAGUUUAAUAAUUAGGGUUUCACAGCACGGUAAUAUGCUAUGACCUAAUUGACCGUCAUUGCUCAAUAUUAUCUGUCCGCACAUACACAGUACAUAAUUAUUGUACUGUAAAAUCAUUAUAACAAUAAUAUAAUAUUAUUAUUCUCAUCUCUUGAUCACAAUCCCAAUUCAGGGUUUGGAUCUCAUAUCUGACUUCUCUUUCGCAUAUCAAGUUAAAAU